rnacentral:rRNA from 1 species
ACGGAAGGCAGCAGUGGGGAAUAUUGGGCAAUGGGCGAAAGCCUGACCCAGCAACGCCGCGUGAAGGAAGAAGGUCUUCGGAUUGUAAACUUCUUUUAUAAGGGACGAAGAAAGUGACGGUACCUUAUGAAUAAGCCACGGCUAACUACGUGCCAGCAGCCGCGGUAAUACGUAGGUGGCAAGCGUUAUCCGGAUUUACUGGGUGUAAAGGGCGCGUAGGCGGGGAUGCAAGUCAGAUGUGAAAUCUAUGGGCUUAACUCAUAAACUGCAUUUGAAACUGUAUCUCUUGAGUGCUGGAGAGGUAGAUGGAAUUCCUUGUGUAGCGGUGAAAUGCGUAGAUAUUAGGAGGAACACCAGUGGCGAAGGCGGAUUGCUGGACGACAACUGACGGUGAGGCGCGAAAGCGUGGGGAGCAAACAGGAUUAGAUACCCUGGUA